rnacentral:rRNA from 1 species
UAGGGAAUCUUCCGCAAUGGACGAAAGUCUGACGGAGCAACGCCGCGUGAGUGAAGAAGGAUUUCGGUUCGUAAAACUCUGUUGUUAGGGAAGAAAAAAUGUAUAGUAACUAUAUACAAAAGAGACGGUACCUAACCAGAAAGCCACGGCUAACUACGUGCCAGCAGCCGCGGUAAUACGUAGGUGGCAAGCGUUGUCCGGAAUUAUUGGGCGUAAAGCGCGCGCAGGUGGUUUAGAAAGUCUGAUGUGAAAGCCCACGGCUCAACCGUGGAGGGUCAUUGGAGACCAAUAAACUUGAGUGCAGGAGAGAAAAGUGGAAUUCCUAGUGUAGCGGUGAAAUGCGUAGAGAUUAGGAGGAAAACCGGUGGCGAAAGCGGCUUUUUGGCCUGCAACUGACACUGAGGCGCGAAAGCGUGGGGAGCAAACAGG